AAAGAUCUAAAUAAACUUUAAAGUUUUUGUUUCAAAAAAAUUUUUUAAGUUUAUUUAGUUGUGAAAUUCUUAUCGCUUUUAUUUAUAUCUAGUAACUUUAGAAAAAAAUUUAGUUUUAAAUGAUUAGGAUAAUUUUAUUUAAAAUUUAUUUUUAAUUCAUUUUUAAAUUUUUGGGGAUGAGCUCAAAAAUUUAUAUAAAAGAAAAAAGAACUCUAAUUUUUAUAUAGGCUUAGAAUUAGCCAUAAAAUAUUGUUAUAAAAUAUAACUUUAGAAAUAAGAUUUAUUUUUCUUUUUAUAUUAUAAAGUUAAUAAUAGAAUUUUUUUUAUUUUGUAAAUAUGGUAAUAUUAGUAGAUAAAAUUUUAAAGAUUUUUUUUUAAAAUCUUCUUAAAUUUUUUUUAUAAUAAAUAUAACAAAAGAACUCGGCAAAUAUAAUUUCCGAAUGUUUAACAAAAACAUUUCUUCUUAGCUUAAGAAGUAAGGCCUGCUCACUGAAGAUUUAAAGAGCCGCAGUAUUCUAACUGUGCUAAGGUAGCAUAAUCAUUAGUCUUUUAAUUGGAGACUGGUAUGAAUGGCUAAACGAGAAAUUAACUUUUUUUGUUAUAAAAAUCAAAUUUAAUUUUUUAGUGAAAAAGCUAAAAUUUUUCAGAAAGACGAGAAGACCCUAUAGAGUUUUAUAUUAAUUUUAUAUUAAUUUUUAAUAGAUUUUUAAAAAAUAAGUAUAAAAAAAUAUUUUGUUGGGGCGACAUUUAGAUAAAAAAAACUCUUUUUUUUAAAAAUUUUUAUAAAAAUAUUUUUUGAUCCUUUAAAAAAGAUCAAAAGAAAAAAUUACCUUAGGGAUAACAGCGUAAUCUUUUUUUAGAGUUCUAAUCGACAAAAAGGUUUGCGACCU
rnacentral:rRNA from 1 species